GCACUUCCCUUUCCUACGCCUCCUUCACCAUGUUCUUCAUCACCAACCUUCAAUUAGUUCUUCUGCAUCUGUGAAAUCUUCAGUACGUUUCCAUGAUUUUUGGUGCUGACAUGCUGGGUCUCGUCUUCUAAGCCUUGAUUCCUCCUUCUUCUGUAGCUGGGAUGGAGAUAAUGGGAUGCUCGGACCCGUUGAUAGCUGAAGAGGAUCAAGGAGCUCAGUUAGUUAAAUAUGAUCUGACUU